CGUCCGCUCCCCGCGUGGCGGGGGGACACGCCGAGGGCGCGAGGGGCCCGCGACAGAGCCGAGGGUUGAACUUCAAAUUAGCUGGGGCGAGGGCGCCGGGGGCUCCAGGCACUGCUUGAGCAGGACCCCGGCAAGUCGCGCUUUUUGCCCUGGCCGAUCUCGGACCGGCAGGUGGGCUCUUCCUGGGCAGCCGCGCGGACCUCCCCGGGGCAGGGCGCUGCUGGAGCCGUCCUCACUGGUACGCCGAGAAAGAGCUUCAGUCGCGGCGUGUGUGGCCGGGGUGUUUUCAGGAUCUGUCUCUAUCCUCCCUCCCCUCUUUAUCUUCCAGAACAGCCAGCCUAAGCGGCGGCGCUGGGGAAAGCACCAGCUUCGGGCGCACUGCCGGAGCCCGGGUGCGCGCAGCGGUCCGUAGGGCGCUCGAUUGCCUUUUCCAGGGAUUGGAGCGGCCGUGGUGCGGCAGGCCCAGUCCCAGUGAGUCUCCAGUUUUCUCUCCUAACACCAUUCAGUGGACACAAAAGGUGAGUGGAAGUCUCUCCACUAAGUAUUUCGUAAACUCAGCUUUUUCUGCCUCAUCUCCAUUGCAUCUCUAGUGAUUCUGCUAUUCUGCCCUGUAUGUGGGUGCUCUAAGACUUUUAUUUCUAAGCCAACUUUUACUAUUAGGGGAAGGAAUAGUGGGUGCCUGUCUCACCAGGUGCAGUAUCAUUUCACGUUAUGAAGGCGGAAUAGAUCAGGUUUUCCAUAUUUGCUUCUACUGGGAAAAGUCUUUCAAUCCUCAUCAGUUGACUUCUCUACCAGUUGAAUCUUGUGAAUCCUUCCUUGGGUUUGACAAAGGCUGGGCUCAGCUGUGACUUUUUAAAUCAGCUCUCUCGAGAUGUCCAUGCUGCCCUUUUCUACUUCUUUCUGACCCUUUUGUCCCUGCCCCUCUUCCUUUCCUCCUGUCCUCUCUGCGUGUUUGUGUUCUUGCCCAACAUCUGCCCUUGGCCCACAGGGCAAGUUCCGCUCUGGGUAUUGUCUAUUUUUUUUCUUUCUUUCUUUUUUUUUUUUUUUUUGCAACAUCUCCCUCAGGGCAAUAAACACAAAUUUGCAUUUCA
rnacentral:lncRNA from 1 species